AACAAUAUAUUAAUUCUACUUUUAUUUAUUGUUUUCAUAACAGAAUAGAACUGUUAUGAAAACUUUGUCAGGCUGACGAAGUUUGCAGCCGCAAACAAAACGUUGCAGGUAAAUAAAACCCUUCUAUGUUUUAAAAAGAACUAAAAGAUGGAAUUGUUGUUUUAUCCUUGUUCACAGGCUGGGAUCCUAAAGGGAAUUUCCAUCCUACUUGUGUGGCUGAAUGACAUCUUCAACCAAUUUUGGUACAUUUGCCAGAAAGCACAACAUCGUGAUAUGUUUAAUGACAUGUGGGUGGGUGUGCUUCACCAUGUCACAGGGAAGCAUGAAUGGACCCGUUGCAAAUGUGACCAUGGACCACUUGAUGCAACGUGGCAUGGUGCCAGGAUCUCCACCACACGAGGCUCUUCAAUGAAUCAUGUUCAACAGACGCUGGUUGAAGGAUGUCACCAAUCUGACCUUUAGGCCCCAGCUACGUGAAGCAUCAAAAGACAGGAAUGACUUCUUUCAUGCACACAGAUUUAUUAGAAAUUAAGAAAAAAUACUAUGUACAAAUGCAAAUAACAGAACUUUUUUGUACAUAAAUAAAAAUAAAUAUAUUGCACAAACUGUUUAUUUUUGGGUGAAAAUGCUGUCUUCAGCUAAAGUUAUUUUGAGGUAUUGUGCUGUUUUGGAACUACUGUAGUUAUAGAUAAACGGUUUGGAUUUUUGGGUUAGGCUGCCCUCAGUCAGGAAGAUGGUGUCCUGGCGUCUCUUGCCGAAACUCCAGGAUAUCCAGCAUCACCCCUGGAAGACGGGUCACCACUCUCUCUCGAGAAUAUAAUCUCUCUCCUCCUGGCUCAGGUGUUGUAAAGCUGUCUAGAAAUUAAAGAGCAUAUGUUUACAUGACUAGAUUCAUAUCUCCAGUGAGUGAUGUUUUCGUUUUUGGCAUCUAUUAUUUUAUUUUAUUUUUUUACACAAAUGGCUACAACCAACCUGCAUCUCAGCUAUACUGGCAGCUCUCAGCUGUGCAAGCUGGUCUCGGUCCUCUUCUCUGAAAGC